GGGUCAGUAGCUCAGUUGGUUAGAGCACCGUCUUGAUAAGGCGGGGGUCACAGGUUCGAUUCCUGUCUGACCCA
rnacentral:tRNA from 1 species